GGAAGGGGGAGAUAGAAUUAGUGGUGUAGGGGUAAAAUCCGUAGAUUUCACUAGGAAUACCGAAAGCGAAGGCGAUCUCCUGGAACAUUACUGACACUAAGGCGUGAAAGCGUGGGGAGCAAACGGGAUUAGAUACCCCGGUAGUCCACGCCCUAAACGAUGUUCACUAGUCGUCGGGAUGCUAGUCAUCUCGGUGAUGCACUUAACAGAUUAAGUGAACCGCCUGGGGAGUACGGUCGCAAGAUUAAAACUCAAAGGAAUAGACGGGGACCCGCACAAGUGGUGGAGCAUGUGGUUUAAUUCGAAGAUACGCGAAGAACCUUACCUAGCCUUGACAUUGAUAGAAUACACCAGAGAUGGAGUAGUGCCUUUCGGGGAACUUGAAAACAGGUGCUGCACGGCUGUCGUCAGCUCGUGUCGUGAGAUGUUGGGUUAAGUCCCGCAACGAGCGCAACCCUCGUCCUUAGUUGCCAGCAGGUUAAGCUGGGCACUCUAAGGAGACUGCCUUCGUAAGGAGGAGGAAGGUGAGGACGACGUCAAGUCAUCAUGGCCCUUAUGGCUAGGGCUACACACGUGCUACAAUGGGGCGUACAGAGUGUUGCGAUACCGCGAGGUGGAGCUAAUCACUUAAAGCGUCUCUCAGUUCGGAUAGCAGUCUGCAACUCGACUGCUUGAAGCUGGAAUCACUAGUAAUCGUAGAUCAGCAAUGCUACGGUGAAUACGU
rnacentral:rRNA from 1 species